GAUGAACGCUGGCGGCGUGCCUAAUACAUGCAAGUCGAACGCAUUGUGGUUGAAAUGAUAUGAAGAACUUGUUCAGAUUUGAUUUUCAACAUUGCAAUGAGUGGCGAACGGGUGAGUAACACGUGGGAAACCUACCUCUUAGCAGGGGAUAACAUUUGGAAACAAAUGCUAAUACCGUAUAAUAAUUAAAACCGCAUGGUUUUAGUUUAAAAGAUGGCCUUGCUAUCACUAAGAGAUGGUCCCGCGGUGUAUUAGUUAGUUGGUGAGGUAAUGGCUCACCAAGACAAUGAUACAUAGCCGAGUUGAGAGACUGACCGGCCACAAUGGGACUGAGACACGGCCCAUAACUCCUACGGGAGGCAGCAGUAGGGAAUCAUCCACAAUAGGACGAAAGUCUGAUGGAGCAACGCCGCGUGUGUGAUGAAGGGUUUCGGCUCGUAAACACUAGUUGUAAGAGAAGAAUAGAGAUUGAGAGUAACUGUUCAAUGUGUGACGGUA
rnacentral:rRNA from 1 species